UAACAUACGGUGGAUUUCUUGCUUUGGUUUGGUGUUUUGAUAACCAAAUUCUUUUCCCCACAUUUCUACUGAUGCAAGAGUCUGUGUGAACUGUCCCAGAGCUGCCUCAAGCAUGGACCCUCCAGGAUGUCCCAUCUCCUGUCCCCUCCCGACUCCUGCUUCAGUCUCUGCAACUGGUCCACCCUCACCACAAGGGUUUGUAUGCAUGAAGAGCCAGAGAAGCACCCCAGUUAUCCAGCUAGCUCCAGUUUUGGUCCCUCCUGCCCCUGAGGGCAUCUCAGCUCCCACUCAUCCACCUCCUCCUGCGUACUGCCUUGCCCCUCGCUGAAAGUCCCACAGGACCUGCAAUGCACUUUGACUUCUCCAGCAGGAAAGACAUAGCUAAGCAGCUACCAAAGCAUUAUUUAUUUACCCCUGGGCACUGAUGACCUGCAAAUGAGGAAUGAGCCUGGGGGCAUGCUGCCUGCCCUUCCCUCCACCCCCAGGAAGGCGGUGGGAUGCAAGCCCAGGGCAAUCCGCAGGACCUGCUGGCGACAGGCCCAAUAGCAAUAAAGAACACAACUGACGAGCUGUCAGUCUGGCAUGUUUUGGGCACCUUGGAGCAGAUGUAGCACGCUCAGCUGUUAAUGACACAGUUGUCAGCUGAAGGACACCACAUGCAAGGCACUGUUGACAUGCAAUCAAUUGGCUCUGGGGCAGGUUUGUUUACUGCUUUGCUUUUCCCUGACAUUUUUUCACACAGAAAGCGUCCAAGGUCUCACAUUCUAUUCAGCCUAUAAAAUAAUCUUUCUGUGAGACAAAACACCCCAAUAUAGUACGUGGUCUUCUCACUUCAGCCAUUGCUUGGGAGAUCCUGGAUGUGACAUCCAGUUCAUCCUGAAAUUUCAGAGUGGAGCAUCCCCCUUAUUUCUGAACAUUGGAAAUGAGUUUGCUAACUGGGGAAAAACAAAAGUCUAUCACCAUGGGGAAUAUUUUAAGAAAUCAGAAAAGCGACAUUCUCUAUGACAAAUGACACUUAGCAAUGGUAAAAUAAUGUUUAGUAGUGGCAGAGGUUACUUGCUGCUGGUGUUGCAGAAGUCUGGAAUGUCAAAGGACUAGAAAAGCUUGAUCUGUGUUUUCAGCUUCACAAAGGAAAAAGAAGAAAAAGUAAAACGUGAUUCAUUACUUAAAAUAAGAUAGUGGGUAGGAAGUGAGGGAGGAUGACUCGCCUGCCUUUAAAUGGAAAUAUGUCCAAAGACCCAUCUGGCAUGUCUGAAGGAGCAGGCAGAGCCGAUACUGCUGAGUUGCUGCUUUGUGCAUUCAUUGCCACAGCAGCACCUUUGCUCCUCUCCGAAACUGCCUGGGUGUCGCUGAGCUCAGGCCAACUGGGUUGGGCUGAACUGGGAGAAAUUAAUCUUACUGGGGACCAAGAGGACUUUAAUGCAAUGCUCGUGGUGCUGAGAAUUCACAUCCUGGCGGUGUGCUCUGACGUCUCAGUGGAGACAAGCCCUGGGGAUCCGACUUUGAUUACCUGCAGCAGGCAUCUCCAGACUUCCCCACCAAGGUGCUGACUUGGGCUGGUGCAUUAACCCAGCACAGCCGCGGGCAGCAGACAUCAGAUCAGCUCCAGGUGCUUGACCAGCUCCUGGGGAACUGCGCAGCCUGCUAUGAAACCAUGCUGGAGGAGACUGGAAUGGCAGCUUUGGCUCAUGAUGGAUGAUCCCUAAUUUAUUUCCACUGUAAAAGGUUUUGAAGACAAGGUUACCCUAUAAAUAAUGUUUAAAUUGUAAUUUUGUUAAAUACCCUUCUCCUGCAGGAAUAAAUAAAUUGCUUUCUGCUUUCAUUAUACCAGGGAGUCAGCAACAUAUCCUCAGGUCCAAUACUGUCAUUUAUUUUAUAUAAUAUAUCUGUGUUUCUGUUUUUUGUGUGUAUGCCUGUGUGUUUACCAGAAGAAGGAUAAUUCAUUGAGUGGUGCCUGCUCCAGCUGUGACAGGUCUCUCACAGGCCUGCCACAGCCAAGGACACCCGUCACAGCCAUACCCCUUCAAGGUGGCAUGUAGCACUAUCCCUGUGGGACAGCAUGUUGCAUUCACAUCAACAUGCCAUCACAGCAUUUGCUUUUAAAGGAUUAACUUGUAACAGAUAAUUGGCACUUGGUGCCAUCGUAUUGAUUGUGAGAAAAGCCUGCAGUGACAAAUCUGCGUACAUUUUACAAUACUUAUUGCACUACAGGCCCGUGUUCUCCUUCUGUAGCCACGCUACUCAGAUGUAACUUCUGAACAACCAACAAAAUAAUACCUGCUAUUGCGUGGCAGUGGGAAUUUAGAAAUGAGCCUGUCUCAGCCCCUGGGGAUCUCAGCCAACAAAAGGCUGGCUGAUGUCUCAGAUCCAGCCUUCAUCUCUUAAACAAGGAGAAAUAUUAAUCCAGGAGACAGUGCGUUUGUCAUUUUAAAGAAACUUAGUGAGGAAAAAAAAAAAAAGAAAAAAAAAAAAG